GGAGUCACGCCAUGGAGGACCAAGAAGCGCUGGGUUUUGAACACAUGGGCCUGGAUCCCCGGCUCCUGCAGGUAUGGGGUAGGCUGUGGAGCUGCUACCCGGUGUGCCGCUGUACUCCACGCCGCUUGAGCUGCGUCCUCUUCCUUCUUAGGCUGUCACCGAUUUGGGCUGGUCGCGACCUACGUUGAUCCAGGAAAAGGCCAUUCCUCUGGCGCUGGAGGGGAAGGACCUCCUGGCCCGCGCCCGCACAGGCUCCGGGAAGACCGCAGCUUAUGCUAUUCCGAUGCUUCAGUCGCUUCUCCACAAGAAGGCGGUGGGUAGCGAGAGGAGCAGUGAGUAUGAGGCAGGACGCUCCAAAAGAAUAGGGAAUGAAGUGCCCGACUGUGCCAAGGUUCCUCCUAUAGGUCCUGUGUCAGUGUUAGGCGGCCCAUAGAGAACUUGGUCAAUUUGCAGCUUAAUCUCUGAGCUGGAGUUCAGGUUACUUGGCUCUCAACCCGGGCCUUGGUGCCACGACCGCCAUCCUGUUGUAAUUUUGAGUAACCUUUUAUCUAGAGGGGGACUCAUCAGCUCCGUAGUACGUUAAGUGAUUUCAGCAAGUUCUAAAUUUGAGUGCCUGGGAAAGCUCUGCCCCCUGUGCUGUGAGGUGGGCAGAAUUAAGAGUUUAUCAGGACACAGCUAGGUGGUUGUGUUGCAGUACAUGGUUCUGACUGUUUGGGCGGACCCAGUACUUUGAACGGUCUUGAAUUGGUGUUCUUACAGACAGGUCCUGUAAUGGAGCAGGCUGUGAGAGGCCUUGUUCUUGUUCCUACCAAGGAGCUGGCACGGCAGGCCCAGGCCAUGAUCCAGCAACUGGCUGCCUACUGUGCUCGGGAUGUGCGAGUGGCUAACGUCUCAGCUGCAGAAGACUCAGCUUCUCAGAGGUGGGUGAAACCUGCAGGCCUCCAAAGGGAGAACGCUUUGCAAGUGUGUGCCCUUGGUGGUGUGAGUGGCUAGCCUGGGCAGGUCUGCCAGGGCGAGGGUCUGGCUGCUAAAUCCUUGCCACCUGCAGAGCUGUGUUGAUGGAGAAGCCAGAUGUGGUGGUGGGAACCCCAUCCCGAGUGUUAAGCCACUUGCAGCAGAACACCUUGAAACUCCGGGACUCCCUAGAGCUGCUGGUGGUAGAUGAAGCUGACCUUCUUUUUUCCUUUGGCUUUGAGGAUGAACUCAAGAGUCUUCUCUGGUAAGGAAGAAACAGAAGUGGCUCCUAGACCUGCAAGGGUCUGGACUUGGGACUGGAGUGGAAUGGGUGGGCUGGAGCCUGAUCAAGCCCUGUUCUUUCUUUCAGUCACUUGCCUCGGAUUUACCAGGCUUUUCUCAUGUCGGCCACUUUCAAUGAGGAUGUACAAACUCUGAAGGAGCUGGUACUGCAUAACCCGGUAAGUGGAGCAUCUGGGACUGAGACCCAAGUCUCUGAACUUGUUGAUCCUUCUCAGGAAACUUCUGGCGCUUGCGGGGGGACUAUUUUUGUUAGGUAUGUCUUUCCUAAUUCUUAAUCACUGAAAGGAAGUCACUUGAAGUCAUUAUAUAUUUAUAGCUUUCCCUAGUCCAAACUGUGCUUUGCUUGGAAGUCACUUGGGGUCACGUUUCCAAAGGGAGCCAAAUUCUAAGACCAGAGUUCCCCUUGUGUACAUUUCAGUCUUCUACUUCCAGCCAUUGUGCAGGCUUCUAUUCUGUAUCCUGUCUACUCCCAAUGUUUGUCUUUGUGCUGUACACUGAUGCUGUAUGUAUAGUUUGUUUCUAAUACCACAAUAGUUAGGGUACUUUUGAGUUCUUAGGUUACAGCCCUGAGGUGGGGUGGGGGAUGGGGCAGUGGCUCACACACCAAAAACCCUUAAAGACAUGUUCUAUCCUGCACUAAUGUAGUUGCUUUGGUUAGUGAGGCAGUGUCCACAGAACCACUUCUCUUUCCUGAUCACAGG
rnacentral:lncRNA from 1 species